GAUGAACGCUGGCGGCGUGCCUAAUACAUGCAAGUCGAGCGAACAGACGAGGAGCUUGCUCCUCUGACGUUAGCGGCGGACGGGUGAGUAACACGUGGAUAACCUACCUAUAAGACUGGGAUAACUUCGGGAAACCGGAGCUAAUACCGGAUAAUAUAUUGAACCGCAUGGUUCAAUAGUGAAAGACGGUUUUGCUGUCACUUAUAGAUGGAUCCGCGCCGCAUUAGCUAGUUGGUAAGGUAACGGCUUACCAAGGCAACGAUGCGUAGCCGACCUGAGAGGGUGAUCGGCCACACUGGAACUGAGACACGGUCCAGACUCCUACGGGAGGCAGCAGUAGGGAAUCUUACGGAAUGGGCGAAAGCUUGACGGAGCAACGCCGCGUGAGUGAUGAAGGUCUUCGGAUCGUAAAACUCUGUUAUUAGGGAAGAACAAAUGUGUAAGUAACUAUGCACGUCUUGACGGUACCUAAUCAGAAAGCCACGGCUAACUACGUG
rnacentral:rRNA from 1 species